GAAAUGUGUGGCACUGACUCUUAUGUCCUUGUCAAUAUGUCACAGGUCUAUAACAACCUCUGAUUACUUUCUCUCAACUGGGAGCUGGGUUUGUCCCUGAGUUGCAGUGCUUAGCCAUGGAUACUUUCUGUGCUCUGCUCCAUUAGGACUGCUAGAUGGGCACUUCAGUGGAAGGAAUAAAUAACUCUUUUGCUGAUGCAAGCAGAAACCGUCCAGUACCAGGUUACAGACUUUUCGGAAGGUAGCAGGCUUUUUGGAAGGUUACAGGCCUAUGUUGCUUUCCCCAUACUUAUGCAGCUGACAGAAGUCUUCUAGCACCUUCCACUACUCACCUUACAAAAGCAUUUAUGAAGCUUAUAAGGCACUCUGUCAUUACCAGUCCAUUCUUUGUAUGGAAUUACCUACCGGAAACAUUCCAGAGAUUUGUGACUUCUGUGCGGAGUUGCAUCAUUCACAAGGCACAGCAUCAGUUUCAUAUCGCAACUGGGAAUGACCCAGCUUUAGUAAUCAAGUUAUAAAAAUACUUUAUCUACAACUUGGUAGUUCUGGAGCAAAGAUGACACCGUCAAAGUGAAAAAUAAAAAAAUGCACCAGCAAGUUAAUAAACA
rnacentral:lncRNA from 1 species